rnacentral:rRNA from 1 species
AUUGAACGCUGGCGGCAGGCUUAACACAUGCAAGUCGAGCGGAGCGAGGGUGCUUGCACCUUAGCUUAGCGGCGGACGGGUGAGUAAUGCUUAGGAAUCUGCCUAUUAGUGGGGGACAACAUUCCGAAAGGAAUGCUAAUACCGCAUACGCCCUACGGGGGAAAGCAGGGGAUCUUCGGACCUUGCUCUAAUAGAUGAGCCUAAGUCGGAUUAGCUAGUUGGUGGGGUAAAGGCCUACCAAGGCGACGAUCUGUAGCGGGUCUGAGAGGAUGAUCCGCCACACUGGGACUGAGACACGGCCCAGACUCCGACGGGAGGCAGCAGUGGGGAAUAUUGGACAAUGGGCGGAAGCCUGAUCCAGCCAUGCCGCGUGUGUGAAGAAGGCCUUUUGGUUGUAAAGCACUUUAAGCGAGGAGGAGGCUACUUAGAUUAAUACUCUGGGAUAGUGGACGUUACUCGCAGAAUAAGCACCGGCUAACUCUGUGCCAGCAGCCGCAGUAA